UAUUAUGUCAUAAUUGCAGGAAUUAUU
rnacentral:piRNA from 1 species